GCGUUGGUGGUGUAGUGGUUAGCAUGCAUGCCUUCCAAGCACGCGUCCCGGGUUCGAUUCCCGGUCAACGCA